AACACCCAGUUUCUUCACAAUUCCCAAACAUCAACUUUACUUUCUUCCAAAUGCUUCAAUGGUGGACUUGAAUAACCAGAGGCCGAUGAUGUUCAACAUAUUUUGAUGAUGUUCACCACCGUUCACCAAAUCAUGUUGGUCAUCAACCGCCGCCGCCGCCGCCUCUUCCGCCCAUCAACCCCACGCUCCUCCCUCUACGUCGGAGACCUCCACCCUCACGCCCUAGACGACGAUCUCCAUCAGCUUUUCUCCAUGAUCGGAUCCGUGAUUUCAGUUCGUGUUUACACGGACCGACCCUAGCACAAAUCGCCAGGCUACGAUUAUUAUUUGAUUUCAGUUUCUUGAUUAGGUGGAAUUGGAGUGGUGUUUAGGGAGGUGUGUAGUGUGAAGAAUGGCAGGGAGUUCGAGUGAGGAAUCCGAGCAGCAGCGUUCCGGGGAGGCAAGCGAUGACUCAGAUUGUGUAUUGGUCGUUCCAAUUUUCCGGCAAGGUUCCGACAUCUCAGGCGAGCGGUGAUGGUGGCAGGUGGAGUUCUUGAAUUCCUGAUAUAUGCAGAGAGUUUAUAUAUUUUUUAUUUUUAAGUUCUGUACAAAAUAGUCCCUGAAUAAAAAAGUUCUUUACAAAA